UACAGAGGGGGCAAGCGUUAUUCGGAAUUAUUGGGCGUAAAGGGCGCGUAGGCGGCUUGGCAAGUGGAAGGUGAAAUCCCUCGGCUCAACUGAGGAAUUGCACGGGAAACUGCUUGGCUUGAGAUCGGGAGAGGGAAGCGGAAUUCCGGGUGUAGCGGUGAAAUGCGUAGAUAUCCGGAGGAACACCGGUGGCGAAGGCGGCUUCCUGGACCGACACUGACGCUGAGGCGCGAAAGCUAGGGGAGCAAACGGG
rnacentral:rRNA from 1 species